UACAGAGGUCCCAAGCGUUGUUCGGAUUCACUGGGCGUAAAGGGUUCGUAGGUGGCUUGCUAAGUCAGACGUGAAAUCCCUCAGCUUAACUGGGGAACUGCGUCUGAGACUGGCAAGCUCGAGUGCAGGAGAGGAACGCAGAAUUCCAGGUGUAGCGGUGAAAUGCGUAGAUAUCUGGAGGAAUACCGGUGGCGAAGGCGGCGUUCUGGACUGCAACUGACACUGAGUGAACGAAAGCCAGGGGAGCAAACGGG
rnacentral:rRNA from 1 species